GGUAAUGGCCGGGAUAGCUCAGGUGGUA
rnacentral:tRNA from 1 species